AAAGGGAGACCUAAUUCGGGUAUAAGACGAAAAAAUAGUAGUCGAAACCAAGAAUCAAUCCCAAAAGGUCGGAACGAGGUAUGUGGCUUUCAAACUAGGUCCUGGGUUCAUAAAAGACCUGAAUCAGGAACAAGGGCUAUUAGCUCAGGUGGUUAGAGCGCACCCCUGAUAAGGGUGAGGUCCCUGGUUCGAGUCCAGGAUGGCCCACCUGCACAGGUGGCAAAAACAAGAGAAGCGAGGAAUCAGCACCUUAUCCUAAUUUAUAUAUAGGAGAGAAUGCUGGCUCUGAGUAAAGAGUCCAGAGGAACCUUGAAAACUGCAUAGAGCUAGGUGAAAAAGCCAAAAAAGAAGACCGCAAG
rnacentral:tRNA from 1 species